AUACGUAGGGGGCGAGUGUUGUCCGGAAUGAUUGGGCGUAAAGGGCGCGUAGGCGGCCCGGUAAGUCUGGAGUGAAAGUCCUGUUUUUAAGAUGGGAAUUGCUUUGGAUACUGUCGGGCUUGAGUGCAGGAGAGGUAAGUGGAAUUCCCAGUGUAGUGGUGAAAUGCGUAGAGAUUGGGAGGAACACCAGUGGCGAAGGCGACUUACUGGACUGUAACUGACGCUGAGGCGCGAAAGUGUGGGGAGCAAACAGGAUUAGAUACCCUGGUAGUCCACACUGUAAACGAUGAAUGCUAGGUGUAGGGGGUAUCGACCCCUUCUGUGCCGCAGUCAACACAAUAAGCAUUCCGCCUGGGGAGUACGGCCGCAAGGUUGAAACUCAAAUGAAUUGACGGGG
rnacentral:rRNA from 1 species